UACCAUUAAAAGUUUAUUGUUUUAUUUCAAUAUUCAGGAACAGUGUACACUUUCCGUUCAGCCAUCGUCACAGCACGUGCUGUGUGGGUGCGGCCACGUAUGGAUCGCAGAGCCGACCUCAGCUCAGCGACGCAGAGUGCUUCUGCUGAAAAAUUUGGAGGUUUGUGUCUGGAGUUUUGUUCUUUGUAACUCUCUCAUCAUCGAGGCUAUAUAUUAAUAGACAUGGUAUUAAGCCCACACGAAACAUUCAGAAUUAGAAUUGGAUUAAGAAGACGCGUUUUGGCAUCACGCUGACUACUCCUCAUCUCCGUCCUCGGGGAGGGUGAUGCCAGCGUGGGACUCUUUGGAAGGCCUAUCAAUCACAGGUGCACGCCUGUGCCUACUCGCUACCACGCGUCUUCUGGGAGGAAGUGAAUGAGCCGGUUAUCUUCUCAGGGAGGGUUAGUGCUGGCCACUGUGCACUGCCGCUGCCAGCACGCCCGGUCACAGCCAGUGUCUAUGGGCGACUGGCGCGGCUGCGAGGCUGUCUAGAGGACUCCUACCCUUCUGCUCUGAGUGCGCAA
rnacentral:lncRNA from 1 species